GCUAGUAAUCGUGGGCUAGUAAUCGUGGAUCAGAAUGCCACGGUGAAUACGUUCCCGGGCCUUGUACACACCGCCCGUCACACCAUGGGAGUGGGUUGCAAAAGAAGUAGGUAGCUUAACCUUCGGGAGGGCGCUUACCACUUUGUGAUUCAUGACUGGGGUGAAGUCGUAACAAGGUAACCGUAGGGGAACCUGCGGUUGGAUCACCUCCUUA
rnacentral:rRNA from 1 species